UACGUAGGGUGCAAGCGUUAAUCGGAAUUACUGGGCGUAAAGCGUGAGCAGGCGGUUCUAUAAGACAGAUGGGAAAUCCCCGGGCUCAACCUGGGAACUGCAUUUGUGACUGUAGAGCUGGAGUGCGGCAGAGGGGGAUGGAAUUCCGCGUGUAGCAGUGAAAUGCGUAGAUAUGCGGAGGAACACCGAUGGCGAAGGCAAUCCCCUGGGCCUGCACUGACGCUCAUGCACGAAAGCGUGGGGAGCAAACAGG
rnacentral:rRNA from 1 species